GACGAACGCUGGCGGCGUGCUUAACACAUGCAAGUCGAACGGAAAGGCGCUGCUAUUGCGGGGUGCUCGAGGGGCGAAGGGGUGAGUAACACGGGAGUAACCUGCCCUGGGGUGUGGGAUAAAUUGAGGGAACUGGGGAUAAUACCGGAGAGGAGCGGCUGAAGGAGGGGGGGGGGUGGGAAGUUUGGGCGGGUGGGGAUGGAGUUGUGGCUUAUGAGCUUGGUUGGGGGGGAGGGGUAUACAAGGGGCUUGACGGGUAGGCGGCGUGAGGGGGUGGACGGCCACAAUGGGACUAAGAUACGGCCCAGACUCCUACGGUAGGCAGCAGUGGGGAAUCUUGCCCAAUGGGCGGACGCCUGAUGCAGCGGCCCCGCGUUCGUGAUGCCCGCCUUCGGGUUGUAAACCGCUUUCGCCUGUGACGAAGCGUGAGUGACGGUAAUGGGUAAAGAAGCACCGGCUAACUACGUG
rnacentral:rRNA from 1 species